rnacentral:rRNA from 1 species
CCUACGGGGGGCUGCAGUGGGGAAUAUUGGACAAUGGGCGCAAGCCUGAUCCAGCAAUACCGCGUGUGUGAAGAAGGCCUUAGGGUUGUAAAGCACUUUCAAUGGGGAGGAAAACCUGCCGGUCAAUACCCGGUAGCUUGACAUUACCUAUAGAAGAAGCACCGGCUAACUCCGUGCCAGCAGCCGCGGUAAUACGGAGGGUGCGAGCGUUAAUCUGAAUUACUGGGAGUAAGGCCGGCAAGUGCGACGUGAAAGCCCUGGGCUUAACCUGGGAACUGCAUUUGAAACUGGCGAGCUAGAGUUGAGUAGAGGGGAGUGGAAUUUCAGGUGUAGCGGUGAAAUGCGUAGAUAUCUGAAGGAACACCAGUGGCGAAGGCGACUCCCUGGACUCAAACUGACGCUGAGGUACGAAAGCGUGGGUAGCAAACAGGAUUAGAUACCCCUGUAGUC